AUAAGCAAGCAAUCUGCCCAUUCCGAACAGGCAUGUUUUGAAUAAACACUGCACUAGUCUUUCUAUCUUUGGGUUCCCAUCACGAUUGAGACCCCCAGACACAUCAAGGAUUCAGGUAAGGCUCCCUGGGUCCUUUGUGUCCCAUCUCCACCAAGACCUUGGACUUGGAGCCUUCCAUCAUGAGGAGGAAAAGAACAGGAGAGAACAGGAUGUUGAGGACAGUGGGGCCAUGCCAUGGGAGGAGCAGUGGACAAGAUUCAUGAGAGAGGUAGCCAGUCCUUACAUCAGGGACCUGAUACACCAGAUUCCAGAAUCUGAAUAUUAUUGGGGCCUUCAGCAUUUUGGGACCACAGGCAGCUGCACAGACCUUGAUACUCCAGGAGUGGCAGUCCUUCAAGGAGCACAUGCGUGGAGAAUUCAAGGAGAUGAACCAAGCCAAAAUAAUGACUUUGCUUGCCAGUGAGUGUGACAACUGGGAACAGAUCUACCCAUUACUCAGCAGUUGCACUUGUCAUCCCGGUGUGAAACAUCAACUGUGAGACAGACUUCUCCACGAUGAACAGGGUCAAAUCAGAACUUCGUAACAGGCUGCAAGGAGAGCACCUGGCUGCCUGCCUGGGGGUCUCCAUCAAUGGGUCAAGCCCAGAGGAAUUCAACCACAAAAGGGCAUUAGAACUGUUACUGUCAAAGCCCAGGAAAAUUAAAUGUCAAAACUCAGGUUACAAAGUUUGCCAAUGGGGACAGAUGAUCAUCCUCUAUUUAUGAUUUAUAAUAAAUCUGUAUUAAAGGCCCCCACACAUGAAAUACAGACUUUUCAAGUCCAGUUUGGUACAAUUUGAUUCGGCCUCGAAAAUUGUUUUCAGAUGAAAAAGGUUUAUUUUUGGUUGAAAGCUUAAAUUUUUCUAUUACAAAGUUGAACAGGGAAAUGACAAUGUGCCCUCCUCAUCAAGUAUAUUCUUUAUUUUCAAAAAAAAUUAACCAGUUCAACACAAGUAACCACUUUUGCUUCAUUUCUUUGAUGGCUUAAAUGAAUGCUCUACUCAAUUUUGUGUGUUGACCAUUUGUGAACUGUGUUAAACUCUGUCCUGUUUA